UCCCUAGGACUCUGGCUCCGGCAGGGGAAAGGGGGCCAGAUACUGCCAUUAGUGGCUCUGGUUCCAGCCCCGGGGAAGCCAAUCACUGGGGAAAGAGACCUACGACAUCACAGUGGGAGCCGGGUAAGGAGGGUGACUAAGCAGGCUGGGGAAGCACUUGGACAAGAGGCAAAGGAAGGAAGAGGGAGACCCAACAAGAGCUUCCGUCUGGAGGAGGACAUCGUGGCUGCUGUGGCAGGUGUCCCCUGAAGGCACAAAGCCUCCACAGAUGCUGGGAGAAAUCAUGAGAGGUUCAAAACAUGGAGACCUUGGGGCAAGGACCUUCACAAGGGAUGCAGUACAUGCUGUUGAAGAUAAAGAAUCAACCAAGAGAACUGAGUCAGCUCCGUGCAUUAAAAAAAAAAAAAUCAUGAAGGUACGCUUUUAUUCUGGUUGUUUUUGCGGCACAUGUUACAAAAUGCAACGGUUCUGAAGCACGUAAGUGAGCACGCCACAUCUCAUCCCUAAGCCACCCAGGAUAAGCCACUCAAGUUGCAACCAAAAGGAGAAAGUGCCUACAAAGGAAAAGCGUGCCUCUUGUUUCCAGACAAAAUAUGUGGUACACCCUUGAGGCAUCCUAUUGGCUGGGGAGCCAGCUGGUUCCAUGUGGGAGAAAACAGCCUGGAAGAAAGGACACAUUCGCUGGUGGCUCCUGUGGAAAAUGGGGCCGCUCUCCGAUGUUGUGGCCUUCCCUGGCACAGCCUGGGAGACUGCACAGGGAGAGCACAGGGCCAGCGGUGUCUCCGCCACAAAGGGGAUACUAACUCUCGAGGCCCGCCUCCCAACCAAACCCAGUGAGGGAUUCCCAAAGGCAUGUGGAAUAGCACAGAUCCAUCAUUUUCUUGCUAAAGCACAAAUGAAAUUAUGUCUGGACGGUGUUUUGCAGCAACUUAUAAAUGGAUCUGGGUGGUUUUCUCCACUGUACACGCGAUGAAAGCGAGGAACUUGCACUACUUUGUAAUGAACUCCUGUUUCAAACGCUAUCCCAAACAUCCUGCUAACCACCAAGAUUCAGGGAUCAGUGAGUGAGACUGGCACUUCUCCUGAUCACCUACGGUUGGUUGUUUAAGAAACAGCGGACAAAAUGCUCAUCAGGUUGCUGAACCACAGACCCGGGAUCAAAGUGGGUUGAUUUCCAAACAAAAUAAAAGGUACAACCUUAUGGAACAUGUGUGUAAUAAACAGAAUGGUGAACUGA